rnacentral:rRNA from 1 species
UACGUAGGGUGCGAGCGUUGUCCGGAAUUAUUGGGCGUAAAGAGCUCGUAGGCGGCUUGUUGCGUCGGAUGUGAAAGCCCGGGGCUUAACUCCGGGUCUGCAUUCGAUACGGGCAGGCUAGAGUUCGGUAGGGGAGAUCGGAAUUCCUGGUGUAGCGGUGAAAUGCGCAGAUAUCACUUGGAACGCCAACGGUGAAAACAGCUCGCUGGGGGUAUCCUGACGCUGAGACACGAAAGCCAGGGGAGCAAACGGG